GAUGAACGCUAGCGGCAGGCUUAAUACAUGCAAGUCGUGGGGCAGCAGGUCUGUAGCAAUACAGAUGCUGGCGACCGGCAAACGGGUGCGUAACACGUACGCAACUUACCCAUUACAGGGGAAUAGCCCAGGGAAACUUGGAUUAAUACCCCAUAUUAUAUAGGAUUGGCAUCAGUCUUAUAUCAAAGCUUCGGCGGUAAUGGAAGGGCGUGCGGUUGAUUAGAUAGUUGGCGGGGUAACGGCCCACCAAGUCUACGAUCAAUAGCUGAUGUGAGAGCAUGAUCAGCCACACGGGCACUGAGACACGGGCCCGACUCCUACGGGAGGCAGCAGUAAGGAAUAUUGGGCAAUGGACGAAAGUCUGACCCAGCCAUGCCGCGUGAAGGAUGAAGGUCCUCUGGAUUGUAGACUUCUUUUAUCUGGGGCGAAAAUCACCCUUUCUAGGGUGCUUGACAGUACCAGAGGAAUAAGCACCGGCUAACUCCGUGCCAGCAGCCGCCGUAAAAC
rnacentral:rRNA from 1 species